AGAGUUUGAUCAUGGCUCAGAAUGAACGCUGGCGGCGUGGUUAAGACAUGCAAGUCGAACGAGAUUUUUUAGACAGAAACUUCUGUGGAAAUUUACAGGUGAGAGUGGCGUACGGGUGCGUAACACGUAAGCGGGCUGCCCUGGGAAUCGGAAUAUCUCGAGGAAACUCGAAUUCAUGCCGGAUGUGGUCCC
rnacentral:rRNA from 1 species